AUUUAUACACGCUAUUAGCAUAACAAGUCUUGUAUGGCGAGGUUCAAUUCAACAACACUGUUUAUAAAAAAGGGGAGACACAGACAGACCAACAAGCGUGUAGUAGGCCACCAGGAUUGGCCAGAGCCGUCGAAAAAAGGUCACCGUUUACGACGGAAAGUCCUUAGCGAGAAAAUAGGAAAAUCAUACCCAUAGUUUAAUCAUUGGAAAGGAAUAACAAAGGGAUGGGAGUUGGCGAUGUCCCAGACAACCCCGUUGUGAUGUAGGUCAGGAAUGGCGUCCCCAUUUUGCAGUGCGACGCUGACGACCGGCACCGGGGGCGCCGACAACAAAUACGGCAAUCCGCUGUUGUGAUCCCGGUGACGUGUAAUUUAAUAUGGACGGCAGCGGGUGUUACAUUUCAGACUGAAGGGAGCAUGUAUCACUGCAAACGGUGUGCCUGACGUUCAUAUUACGCAUAAUUUGCACACACACUUCAAAUUAUUACGAUAUUGCACUGAAUUGUCAAGAGUUCAUGACAUUUAUAAAGAAAAUAACAUUAGGCGCAUCUAUCUUGGUAAUAAAGGAAUCCUUUUACUUUCGAUGGUGACUGUACCAAGUGUGCCUACCUACAUACAUACAAAACGUAUCGUGCCAAGGCCUAAAAUAUUCUAACGACUCUGUGUACAUGCAUACAAGAAGUACAAUAUACUUCCGAGGAGUUUAAAAUAGGACUAACCUUUUCGAUAAAUUACGUCGUAAUAGUAUGCCGGUAAAAUUGAAAAUAGGUCAAAUAU